UACAGAGGGUGCAAGCGUUAAUCGGAAUUACUGGGCGUAAAGCGUGCGCAGGCGGUUUUGUAAGCCAGAUGUGAAAGCCCCGGGCUUAACCUGGGAAUGGCAUUUGGGACUGCAAGGCUUGAGUGCGGCAGAGGAGACUGGAAUUCCUGGUGUAGCAGUGAAAUGCGUAGAUAUCAGGAGGAAUACCGAUGGCGAAGGCAGGUCUCUGGGCUGACACUGACGCUCAUGCACGAAAGCGUGGGGAGCAAA
rnacentral:rRNA from 1 species